AACGAACGCUGGCGGCAGGCUUAACACAUGCAAGUCGAACGCCCCGCAAGGGGAGUGGCAGACGGGUGAGUAACGCGUGGGAAUCUACCCAUCUCUACGGAAUAACUCAGGGAAACUUGUGCUAAUACCGUAUACGCCCUUCGGGGGAAAGAUUUAUCGGAGAUGGAUGAGCCCGCGUUGGAUUAGCUAGUUGGUGGGGUAAAGGCCUACCAAGGCGACGAUCCAUAGCUGGCCUGAGAGGAUGAUCAGCCACAUUGGGACUGAGACACGGCCCAAACUCCUACGGGAGGCAGCAGUGGGGAAUAUUGGACAAUGGGCGCAAGCCUGAUCCAGCCAUGCCGCGUGAGUGAUGAAGGCCCUAGGGUUGUAAAGCUCUUUCACCGAUGAAGAUAAUGACUGUAGUCGGAGAAGAAGCCCCGGCUAACUUCGUGCCAGCCGCCGCCGUAAAAC
rnacentral:rRNA from 1 species